AGGGAUAUAGUUCAGUGGAAGAACACUCGCCUAUGAUGUGAGAAGCCCUGGGUUCAACCCCCAGUACCACAA
rnacentral:tRNA from 1 species